rnacentral:misc_RNA from 1 species
UUCACGCUUUCUCUUUGCGGCGUCCUUCUGUCUUUCACGCGUUGGCCACUCCAACCCGCUCCCCUCUCACCUUAUCAGCUAUUCGUCUCAUCACGGUCACAUCGUGUUGCUGUCCUGGCCUGAUCGUGUGCGUCGUGCUACGCAGUUAGACACACAUCCACACCCGUGCCUUCCGAGUCCUCCCCACCCCCGCCUGCCACGUCCGUCUGCCCCUUGCCUGCAGCCCUCACCGUCACGUGGUACGCCCCAUACGCCGUUUCCGCCGAAACGCCUUCUCUGUAUCUUGACCAUACCCACACCCAUACCCAUACCUAUACACACCACACCCCCCGGGACGCUCCCCCACCCCUCCCCGCCAAGAUGGGCCUUAUGCUACCGAAGCCGAUCCUUAGCAAGGUCGUGGAUCGUGCAGGGAACUCUUUUGUAAACGCUGCCUGCGCCUCGCAGAACGGCUUUCGCAACUCCAUGGAGGAUGCGCACAUGCUAGUCGCUACCGACGACGCCGACGUGGCGUACUUUGGCAUCUUCGAUGGACAUAGUAACGCCGAGUGUAGCGCCUACGUGGCGAGGGAGCUGCCACAGCGGCUAAAGAAGCUGCCGGAGACGAUCACGGCGGAGAUGUUAGAGAAGGUAUGCAUAGAGGUGGAUGAGGCCUACAUGAAGGCCAACACCGAGGGCGGCACCACCGGCACCUUUUGCGUCAUCCGCAAGGACCUCACAGUGACCAUCGCUAACGUCGGCGACUCCCGCAUCCUCGUCUGCCGCGGCGGCAAACUGAUUUUCGCCACUGAGGACCACAAGCCGUACAUUCCGGGAGAGACGGAGCGCAUCGUUGCCUGCGGCGGCAGUGUAGUCAGCAACCGCGUCGACGGAGACCUUGCUGUAUCGCGCGCCUUCGGUGAUGCGUCUUUCAAGGUAAAGGGGACGAAGGACUACCGAAUGCAGAAGGUGAUUGCCGUGCCCGACGUGUCGGUGCUGCAAUGCGAGCCGAACGACUUUGUCAUUCUCGCCUGUGACGGCGUCUUCGAGGGCAACUUCUCCAACGAGGACGUUUGCCAGUUUGUGUGGGAGCAGCAGCAAAACUGCUGGGACGACUUGGCGGUUGUAGCGUGCCGCGUUUGCGAUGAGGCGAUCCGGUGCGGCAGCAAGGACAACAUCUCCUGCUUAGUGGUGCAGCUGGCCGAGGGCGCUUCCAAGGUAAAGUCGUUCGGCGCCACAUCCUUCGUCCCGGGGCCGCCAUUUCCGCGCAAUCAGCAGCCCUGCCGCGCCGCCUACGCGCAGAUGGCGGAGCUCGGCCACACCACGACGGCGGCAGCGCUACAGACGCGCUACCAGCUUCUGCAGGCGUUCUCCAAGAACAAGUUGAAUUCGCAGCCGCCUGUGAUGCGAACCGCCUUCGAGAUGAGCGACGAGGUGGAUGUGGAGACGGAAUGGUCCUUCUUCGGCAAGGGCCCCGCGCCAGGAAACGAGAAGAGCUUCUUUGAGGCGCUCGCCAAUACGGGCAACAGCUCGUAGCGGACAUGCCGCCGUCACCUUCCCACGGCGAUCCUCCUCCCUAUUGCCCCUAUGCGUCACUCCUUCCUGCCUCUCGCCUCUUAGCCCACGUUUGCGUGUUGUUAUAUUCUGGUGUUUGCAUGCUCGGAGCUCGUCUCGGCACCGUGCUACGGACUGCUUGUGCGGCGGACGGCGUAAUGCGCGGGCAAUCGCACCUUGUGCCUGGAAGAGGCGAUGAACCUGAGAGAGCAACAUGUACACACUUACAUACCUACGCACGCACGCCUAUACAGUCGGACAGAGAAAUGGAGGGAUUGGGGCUGGAGGGUGGUGGGUGGCGGUGGAAGCGGUGGCCCUGGAUGGCGGAAGAGAGGGGCACGCCAAGGAAGUCAACUGUACACACCUCAGCGCUCUGUCUGUCUGUCUGCCUCUUUCCUUUAUUUCUGUAUAUGUUUUUCUUCUUCGGGCUUGUAUGCAGUAUGUGUGCGCUGCCAAGCAGAUAGGGAAAUAGAGAGGGUGGCGAGGGGUGGUACCCAUGGAGUGGAGGAGGAGUGUAUUAGUGCUACUGGAGGGAUGCAAGAGGAGGAGGAGGGGCCGUAUGGGUAGUGGGACUAACGUGGCGAGUGAAGAGAUGCUAUGAGGUAGUGAUGGAUGAAAAGUGUCUCGUCCGUCAACCAUCGCUUGGGCGCGUCGACGCAAAGGCACCGCUGCGCUUUCUCCAUGCCGGAAUCGUUGCCGGCCGUGACUACUCCCCUCAAUAUCAAGCUCAAUAGCGUUGUUAGGGAGGAGGAGUGGGCGACCGAGAUGGAGCUGGGAAGCCGGUGAAGUAUACGCGAAGACACGGACGUCCACGUAUACACACCUCUCGAUGAUGGGCUGGAAAGCAGCGGCGGGGUCUUCUCUCAGCGGCUUGCGCCAGCACAACCGCAUGCGUGUGCGAUGACGUCGCUCUCCUCCUCGCUCCACGAUCGCCCCUCCUCUACCCGAGAACAACCUACAUCACAGACCCGCGUGCAUGCUCACGCUGCACACGUGCACUUGACUGCGGAGGCAUGAGCGCAUUGAUCUGGUCCUCCUCCGUCUUCCUUCACCGCGUGUUUGUAGCUCUCCACCCUUCUCUCUCCCUCGUUCCUAUCCCCCUUGCCGGUCUCUCGUGUCCGCGUGUAGGGCUAGGUGGGCGUUCACGGUCUUGUGAUGUUCCGUUUGCCUGUUCAUUUUUUUUUUCCGCGCUUGUCUUGGUUUCCUUCGCUUCUCAUCUUUCGGCUUGUAUUGGCUGUGCUGUCCUGUCUUGUACGAGCGGGCUGUGAAUCUGUAUGCGUGUGCGUGUUUGUACGCCUUCCUACCCCUUUCCCCUUUCCCGCUCCCUGUAUCUGUUCGUGUGCUUGUUGGCGCGUAUGUGCGUCUGCGCGUAAGGGCUGGGGUAGGAUGAGGGAGCAAGCAGGUAGUGGCACGUCUCGGAGGAGAGGAUGGGGAAGCGGCUGAUCAGACAUUGAGGCCCUGACUGCCACUGCGACCACUGCGCCUCAUCCUUUUCCUUGUUUUCUUGUGUGCAUUGGCACUGGCUGCGAUAGCCUCUUUUUCUUCUGUGUGGGAGAGGGGGUGGCGGGCGUGACGGAAAAACAACAGAGAAAGACCGAGUGAAGGAGAGGAGGGAGGCGCGCCUUGUCUGCCGCAGCGGUCGUGUGCCCCCCCCCUCUGAUGCCCCACUGAGACACCCCCUCCUUCCCCUCCCCCUCUCCCUCCAUCGCACACUCACUCCGGGUCUUUCUUUUGAUGCUCAUCUUUUUUUUUUGUUCGCGUGUGCCGCCUCCCUCUUGUCGUCCCCUUCGAGCGAAAGACCUGAGAGGCCGAAUAAAAAGCAAAAGGGGAUGGUGACGGUGGCUCUGUUUGCCCUGUUCUGCGUGGUGUGUAUGUGUACGUCUCUCCCCCACCUCUCUCUCUCUUUGAUGGUGUUCUUUCAUAUCUUUGCUUGCUCGAUGGCGUGCGUCGAGUGUGUGUGUGUGUGUGUGUGUGUGUGUCUGUGUGUGGCACGCUGAAGAGAGCAGCAGCAGAGAAGGAGAGCUUCGGAAGCAAACGUGGGGUGGGGCACCUGUGAGCCUGUGUGUGUAUGUGCCUGCGCGCUGAUUUUGAUCAUGCUGUCGUCGUCGCUGUUGUUGUUUACGCCUGUUCUUUUUCCUUUCUUUGGCCGGCUCGUUUUGUUCUCUCUCUGUGUGUGUGCGUGUGUGCCCGCUGUAGCUGCAUCCUCUUUGCUCUAUCUCUUCAUCUGUGCCUGUGUCACUAUCAACUCGAAGUAUCAAGAAGCUAUCCAGGGACGAACGCGAUGCAACGCCUUGAACUCCUCUCUUGUGCUGUGAAAAGGUGCACACACAUACACGCGCGCGAGAAAAGCGAAUACAGACUGCCACAGGACCCACCUCACCCCACCCCUCUCCGCCUCUCUCUCUAUCCUCCAUCUAUGCGCAUUCAAGCGCACAGUGCCGACUGGGCACUGGUUUAAGGACGCGUGCAGGCUCACCCAGCUAGUUGUGCAAUGUGCGCCAGUGCGGCUGCGUGAGCACGUGCACGUGUUUGUGUGUGUUCCGAUCGUGCUUCGCCCCAACCCCUGCCUGCCAUCGCUUUUCAUCUUGUUGCUUUCUUGUGUUCGACGCGCUUCAAUGAGUCCGCACACCACCGCGUUGCCGUGCCCAUAGUAGGGAAGACGAGAGGGCACACUACGAGAGCCACGACUGCUCCUGCGGUCUCUUGCGCUAUCACGAAUGACGUCCUUUUCUCUUGCUUCACCUCUCCGUGCCUCCUUUGCCGCGCCCCUCCCUUCUCGCCACGCACAG